UAUAAAUUAGUGUAUGAUGCACAUAAAUUUUUGAUAUUUAAGGAAAAAGUUUAAAUCUUAUAUUUAUAA
rnacentral:tRNA from 1 species